UGGGGGAUAUUGCACAAUGGGCGAAAGCCUGAUGCAGCGACGCCGCGUGGGGGAUGAAGGCUUUCGGGUUGUAAACCUCUUUCGCUAUCGAACAAGGCCCGCUUAGGGUGGGUUGAGGGUAGGUGGAGAAGAAGCGCCGGCUAACUACGUGCCAGCAGCCGCGGUAAUACGUAGGGCGCGAGCGUUGUCCGGAAUUAUUGGGCGUAAAGGGCUUGUAGGCGGCUUGUUGCGCCUGCUGUGAAAACGCGGGGCUUAACUUCGCGCGCGCAGUGGGUACGGGCAGGCUUGAGUGUGGUAGGGGUGACUGGAAUUCCAGGUGUAGCGGUGGAAUGCGCAGAUAUCUGGAGGAACACCGAUGGCGAAGGCAGGUCACUGGGCCAUUACUGACGCUGAGGAGCGAAAGCAUGGGUAGCGAACAGG
rnacentral:rRNA from 2 species